rnacentral:ribozyme from 15 species
AAAAGGAAAAAAAGCUAAGUCUUUUUUUUUUUGUUUUUUUUUUGGUUUUUUUGGUUUUAUUUUUGCUUGUU